CCCGCUGAACUUAAGCAUAUCAAUAAGCGGAGGAAAAGAAACUAACAAGGAUUCCCCUAGUAACGGCGAGUGAAGCGGGAAGAGCUCAAAUUUAAAAUCUGGUUUGCUUUGCAAAUCCGAGUUGUAGUCUGAAGAAACGUUUUCCAUGAAAGCUGAGGCACAAGUCCUUUGGAACAGGGCAUCAUAGAGGGUGAGAAUCCCGUCCAUGGUCUCAAGCCUUUCAUUUUGUGAUACGUUUUCUAAGAGUCAGGUUGUUUGGGAAUGCAGCCUAAAAUGGGUGGUAAAUUUCAUCUAAAGCUAAAUAUUGGCGAGAGACCGAUAGCGAACAAGUACCGUGAGGGAAAGAUGAAAAGCACUUUGGAAAGAGAGUGAAACAGUACGUGAAAUUGUUGAAAGGGAAACGCUUGAAGUCAGUCGCGCCGUUCGGGAUUCAGCCUUGCUUCUGCUUGGUUCACUUCCCGUUGGGUGGGUCAACAUCAGUUUUGGUCGGAGGAGAAAGGCUUGGGGAAGGUGGCAGCAUUCGUGCUGUGUUAUAGCCCCUUGUUGUAUACUUCGACUGGGACUGAGGACCGCAGCACGCCUUUGGCCGGGGUUCGCCCACGUACGUGCUUAGGAUGUUGGCAUAAUGGCUUUAAGCGACCCGUCUUGAAACACGG
rnacentral:rRNA from 1 species